rnacentral:siRNA from 1 species
GCGGUUGCGGUUGCGGUUGCGGGA